rnacentral:rRNA from 1 species
CGAAGGGGGCUAGCGUUGCUCGGAAUCACUGGGCGUAAAGCGCACGUAGGCGGCUUUUUAAGUCAGGGGUGAAAUCCUGGAGCUCAACUCCAGAACUGCCUUUGAUACUGAGAAGCUUGAGUCCGGGAGAGGUGAGUGGAACUGCGAGUGUAGAGGUGAAAUUCGUAGAUAUUCGCAAGAACACCAGUGGCGAAGGCGGCUCACUGGCCCGGUACUGACGCUGAGGUGCGAAAGCGUGGAGCAAACAGGAUUAGAUACCCUGGUAGUCCACGCUGUAAACGAUGGAUGCUAGCCGUUGGCGGGUUUACCCGUCAGUGGCGCAGCUAACGCAUUAAGCAUCCCGCCUGGGGAGUACGGUCGCAAGAUUA